rnacentral:rRNA from 1 species
UACGUAGGCAGCGAGCGUUGUUCGGAGUUACUGGGCGUAGAGGGUGUGUAGGCGGUUGUUUAAGUUUGGUGUGAAAUCUCCCGGCUCAACUGGGAGGGUGCGCCGAAUACUGAAUGACUUGGAGUGCGGGAGAGGUGAGUGGAAUUCCUGGUGUAGCGGUGAAAUGCGUAGAUAUCAGGAGGAACACCGGUGGUGUAGACGGCUCACUGGACCGUAACUGACGCUGAGACACGAAAGCGUGGGUAGCAGACAGG